rnacentral:rRNA from 1 species
AUUGAACGCUGGCGGCAUGCUUUACACAUGCGAGUCGAACGGCAGCGCGGGCUUCGGCCUGGCGGCGAGUGGCGAACGGGUGAGUAAUACAUCGGAACGUGCCCAGUAGUGGGGGAUAGCUCGGCGAAAGCCGGAUUAAUACCGCAUACGACCUGAGGGUGAAAGCGGGGGAUCUUCGGACCUCGCGCUAUUGGAGCGGCCGAUGGCAGAUUAGCUAGUUGGUGGGGUAAAGGCCUACCGAGGCGACGAUCUGUAGCUGGUCUGAGAGGACGACCAGCCACACUGGGACUGAGACACGGCCCAGACUCCUACGGGAGGCAGCAGUGGGGAAUUUUGGACAAUGGGCGAAAGCCUGAUCCAGCAAUGCCGCGUGUGUGAUGAAGGCCUUCGGGUUGUAAAGCACUUUUGGCGGGAACGAAAAGGACUGUGCCAAUACCACGGUUCGAUGACGGUACCCGCAGAAUAAGCACCGGCUAACUACGUG